UGAAGCCGAGCUUCUGGAAGGACCGGCCUCCCUUGAGUUCCUGAAAAUUAAGCAAAUAACAUGAAUUUCUUGUGCAACAAUUUAUCCAAGUUGGACUAAAAAAUGUCCAUGGUUAUAACGAUUCUUGGAAGGAUUAAGUGGGAUUAGAAAAUCUAAAGUUCUGACGUGGAGGUUUGGGUUUCUGCCAAUUUUAAGGAAGAUCCUAAAGCAUGUCUCACCUUUCUGACGGAUAUCCUCAGGAUGCACGGGUCGAGGACACCCGUCGAUGCGUUGGCACUCAUCUUGCAGAGGAACUCGAACUUGGCGUUCCACCUGACAGUGUGCUCUUGCACUUCUUCCCUGAAACAUACAAGGCAGCUAAGCGCAACGAAAUUGUAAGCCAGACUGGAAGGUCAUCGAUGAUUCAUGUUCCCUGAUACCAAAGUGAUUCGACAAAGCGACGAGAUAUCGAGAAGCCUGGGACAUUUCGAUGUAAUUUCCGUACAAUAGGGAUAUAUAAAUAUAUUUUUAUGCCUCUACGAAAUCAAGGACUGCGGAGGUCGUUGGAUUGCCGAGUUAUUGGGAUGCGGAAAAAAAAUGGAAUGGACUAUUUGUGAAUACUAAAAAAAGCGGCUGGCAGAUAACUGCACGUAGGUGAGUGGAGCCUCUUUUCAGAGAAAAUGAAACAUUCCGGUUAAACGCCCACGACUACCGUCUACGGGAAAAGAGGCUUUCGACGGUGGGCUUUGCAGCGCCCACGCAAUUCGCUGACGAAAACGUGGGCAUUUCCGUAAUCUCCGUCGGGAAGGAAAUACCACGGUAGGCGACGAAUCCGUCUCAGUCUAAAGGAUCUUUUGAAUAAGAUUGUCCCCAUUAAGUUUCUUUCAAGAGUUUGCAAUCACGAGGAGAAUUCACAAGGCGAGUCGUUAGGGAAAAUGGCCGCGAGCGCACGUGACUGGUAACUCUAAUGAGAUUCGCUUUUUCCCUAGAUUUAAAAUAACCAACGGAAGGGUACACAUCUACACGCGUUACGCGCCGUCGAGUUUUGAUUCUGCCAGCGGCGAUUAUCCAGUUUUCUGGAUUAUCGACUUUCAACGGUCGCACGUCCCGCGAACAUCUCAGGACUGUGCAUCAUGACUGACUGAUCGAAUUCAAAGAGUAUAGACAUCAUUUAAUAACUUUUCGCACGUGAAUUCAAUGGCCAGGACAGAUGCUUACACUUGGAUCUCAGGACACAUGCAUCAUGACCGACUGAGGACGGGUGCUCACACUUGGAUCGUCGCUGCAUAAGAAACUGUUUGUCACGGAAAACGUUCAUUAUAUAAUUUGUAAUGAAUGCAUACGUGCCGUAAAUAUGUCAUGUUUAUAGUGCCAUCAACCACUCGAUCAUAAUAGACCGUUUCUUUCUACGUUCUGGUUCGCGAUCCGUGGACUUUGACAAGAUAAACAUACCUGAUAUACUGAGACACGUGCGCGUUAAUCAGGAUUUUCAUGUCCAACAAAAAAAUUCGCCUCGCGUGUGGCUUUUUAUGAAGCAUUCGCAACGGAACAUUGUCCAUUAAAAUUCGAUCCUUGGUUGUCGGAAAUACUCAUACAACUUUGUACGGCUAUCCGGAAUAAUGUCGCUUUGUAUAAGUGCGUGCAUUAAUGCAAGUAUAAUUACGCCUCCACGGCUUGCGUAUAAAAAUGUCAGACCUAAGACGUCGUUUAUUAUGAGGAACAUUAAUUUAAUAAUCUUAGAAUUUCAUCGACGAGCGGGGCGUUUCAAACCCCUCAUGUUCGUGACGUCAUCGUCUAUUUGACCCUGAAAGACUGCCUUUCCUCAUCCGCUUGUAAAAUCCAUUUUAUUACUUUAUACGUCUAGGAUCGCGAGGCAUGAACUUCGACAAGGUAAAUGCAUCCGCAAAGUAAUUAGACCCGGUUAUUUAUGGAACGUAGCGCGCGUUAGUAUAUUUAUGUAUAUUGCAUGUCGAACAAGGCCCACGGUAUCUCCUAUACACUUUAGCUUAUGCAUCGCUUUAAUAAGGAAGCGUCAUAAUUGCGUUACGGCUUGGCUGGAUUGAUUUGGCCAAGUAUGUACAGAUUUCUUUUUACAUGCGCGGUGCGUUAGUCCUGGAUGGUUGAAAAGUGGAAUGGUCGUAUUUCUACAUUUUCAGAAUUGAAGAAAU